rnacentral:rRNA from 1 species
UACGUAGGGGGCCAGCGUUGCUCGGAAUUACUGGGCGUAAAGGGUUCGUAGGCGGUGCGGCAAGUUGGGAGUGAAAUCUCUGGGCUUAACUCAGGGGCUGCUUUCAAAACUGCCGCGCUCGAGUGCGAGAGAGGUCAGUGGAAUUGCAGGUGUAGCGGUGAAAUGCGUAGAUAUCUGCAGGAACACCCGUGGCGAAGGCGGCUGACUGGAUCGCAACUGACGGCUGGAGGAACGAAAGCUAGGGAGCAAACAGG